rnacentral:lncRNA from 1 species
GUAAUGGAGGCAUUACAUCAAUUUUUAACUAAAGUAAUCAUUACAUUACAUGUAAUUGUAAUGCAGAAAAUGUGCAUUACAAAUUACUUUGCAUUACAUCCAAAAAAUGUAAUAUUACAGUGCAUUACAAUUACAAAUUACCAUUACCCCAGGCCUGGUACUGCCACUGAAAAAAUUGCAGAAAUAGCAGAAAAGGAACUAGACAACUAUGUUAUCAACUCACCAAGUUAUAUUAGAGAUACUACCGAUUUUUUAAAUAAACUUUCAAAAGUAAAACAGCCAAUACCAAAAAACAGCAUAUUGUUUUGUUUCGAUGUUGUAAAAUUAUACCCAUCUAUUCCUAGAGAAGAAGGAAUAAAAGCAUGUAAAAUAGCUCUUGACACCAGAAGAAAUAAAGAAAUACCAACCAAUGAUAUCCUAGAAAAUAGAUAAAAUUAGUUUUAGAGGGGAAUAACUUCAAAUUGAUUGACAGAGAUUUUCUGCAAAAUGAAGGUGUGGCUAUAGGGUCAAAACUAGGAAAAAAUUUUGCUUGUACUUAUAUGCGACAAUGGGACAAAGCACUGGAAAAAUUCAAAGAGAAACCAUUGUUUUAUAAACGCUUCAUUGAUGAUGGUUUUGGAAUUUGGACUCAUGGCGAACAAAAACUCAAAGAAUUUAUGGACUUUGCAAACUCAAUAAAUGACAAAAUAAAGGUGGAACUUAGGUACAACAGCAAUCAGAUUGAAUUCUUAGAUACACUUGUGAAAAUAAAAAAUAGUAAAUUAACAGCAGACCUUUAUACAAAGCCAACUGAUAAACAUAUAUAUGUUCACAGCAAAUCAUGCCAUCCAAAAAUGUAAAAAAGGGCAAUUCCUUAUGGUUUAGCAUUACGAUUAAGAAGAAUUUGUGAAAAUGAAGAUGACUAUCAAAAACAUAGACAAGAACUAAAAUUACAACUGCGAAAAAGAGGCUAUAAUGGAAAAUUUAUUGAAAACCAACUAAAAAGAGCAGACGACUUAAAUAGAAAAGAGUUAUUACAGAGAAAAAAUAAAAUUAAAAAAACAUCAGAACGCA